GGCUAUGAGAGUGAUAGAACCACAAUGAACUUUAUAUUUUGUUUUUUAUAGCAGGUUUGGAGAUUGGCAUAUUAGAGCAGAAAAUACGUGCAGUUGCUUAGGGCAGCAAUUAUGGGCAAGAAGGAAGUGCUUUUCAAUACCUGGUAACUGGUCUGCGUAGCAAUGUUGCUGCUUUCAACGAGUUGUUUGGUAACAAAGGCUUCACCCUUGCAGUUCGAAGUGAUCUUAGUGUUGCUAUGGACAUGUUGUGCAAGAUGACUGGGACACAAACAGUUGCUGCUCGGGCCAGCAGUGAUGAGAUAUUUAAUGAAGGGAGUCCUGGGAGUGCUUUGUGUGAGCUGGAUCAUGUGUUUUUUUUUGUAUAUAUAAAAUUUAAUAGUUUCUCUUUGUUAUGUUAUGGUCUCUGGGAACAACACUGGGAAGUUCACUGAUAUACCUACAAGUAGAUUUAUAUUGAUUGCUCUUUGUCUAGAUGGUUUAUGGUUUAUGCUCUUUGUCUAGCAUUUCUUAA